GAUAGGGUACUUUUUGUAGAACGGUCCGGCGAGCGAUUGUAUGCAGCAAGGUUAAGGACUUAAGGUCUGGAGCCGAAGCGAAAGCGAGUUUGAAAAGGGCGUUAAGUUGCAUAUAAUGGGCCCGAAACCGGGUGACCUACCCAUGGUCAGGUUGAAGUGGAAGUAAAAUUCCAUGGAGGACCGAACCGACCUCCGUUGAAAAGGCGGCGGAUGAACUGUGGGUAGCGGAGAAAUUCCAAUCGAACCCGGAGAUAGCUGGUUCUCCCCGAAAUAGUUUUAGGACUAGCCUCAAGUUAGAUACCUGGAGGUAAAGCACUGAAUAGCCUAGCGGCCGAGAGGUUAGCGAAGCUUAUCAAACUCAGAAUGCCAGAGUAUUGAUGCUUGGGAGUCAGACAGUGUCAGAUAAAUGUCAUUGUCAAAAGGGAAACAGCCCAGAUCUACAGCUAAGGUCCCAAAGUCAGGUUAAGUGGAAAACGAUGUGAAGAUACGCAGACAACCAGGAUGUUGGCUCAGAAGCAGCCACUCAUUCAAAGAGUGCGUAAUAGCUCACUGGUCGAGCGUCUUUGCGCGGAGAAUUUAACGGGGCUAAACCUGACACCGAAGCUUAGGCAAUCCAGCAAUGGAUUGGGUAGGGGAGCGUUGUAUACGCGGAGAAACAGUAGCGUAAGCGGCUGUGGAGUGUAUAGAAGUGAGAAUGCCGGAAUGAGUAGCGCGAAUGCAGUGAGAAUCUGCAUGGCCGAAAGCCUCAGGUUUUUGGAGGAAGGUUCGUCCGCUCCAAGUCAGUCGGGAGCUAAGGUGAGGCCGGAAGGCGUAGCCGAUGCACAGACGGUAGAGAUUCCGUCACCACCAAAAGAGUUAAGCACAGGGACACAUUUGAAGUCUCAGAGCCGGGUGUUGGUUCCGGUAGAGAUCGAGGGAAGUUAGUACCGAAGUCUGGGAUGGAGGAUGGCGAGAAAAGCUGUGUGUAUUUCUGAGGUGCCCGUACCGCAAACCGACACAGGUAGGUAGGAAGAAGAUUCUAAGGCCAACGGGAGAAGGGUUGUUAAGGAACUCGGCAAAUUGACCCCGUAACUUCGGGAGAAGGGGUGCUCCAGAGAUGGAGCCGCAGAGAAUCGGCCCAAGCAACUGUUUACCAAAAACACAGGUUUGUGCUAAAUCGAAAGAUGACGUAUACGAGCUGACGCCUGCCCGGUGCUGGAAGGUUAAGAGGAGAUGUGCAAGCAUUGAAUCGAAGCCCCAGUGAACGGCGGCCGUAACUAUAACGGUCCUAAGGUAGCGAAAUUCCUUGUCAGGUAAG
rnacentral:rRNA from 1 species